rnacentral:rRNA from 1 species
GACGAACCGAGCGAACGUUGUUCGGAAUAACUGGGCUUAAAGGGCGCGUAGGCGGGCCGCCAAGUUCGAGGUGAAAUCCUCCGGCUCAACCGGAGAACUGCCUCGAAUACUGGAGGCCUCGAGGCGGGUAGGGGCACGCGGAACUGUGGGUGGAGCGGUGAAAUGCGUUGAUAUCCACAGGAACUCCGGUGGCGAAGGCGGCGUGCUGGACCCGAUCUGACGCUGAGGCGCGAAAGCCAGGGGAGCGAACGGG